GUCAGGUUGCUUUGAGUAGUUAUGACGAUUCC
rnacentral:scRNA from 1 species